UACGUAGGGAGCAAGCGUUGUCCGGAAUCAUUGGGCGUAAAGCGCGCGUAGGUGGCCUCAUAAGUCCGCUGUGAAAGUCAAAGGCUCAACCUUUGAAAGCCGGUGGAUACUGUGAGGCUAGAGUACGGAAGAGGCGAGUGGAAUUCCUGGUGUAGCGGUGGAAUGCGCAGAUAUCAGGAGGAACACCGGUGGCGAAGGCGGGUCUCUGGGCCGUAACUGACGCUGAGGAGCGAAAGCGUGGGGAGCAAACAGG
rnacentral:rRNA from 1 species